UACGGGGGGGGCAAGCGUUGUUCGGAAUUACUGGGCGUAAAGGGCUCGUAGGUGGCCAACUAAGUCAGACGUGAAAUCCCUCGGCUUAACCUGGGAACUGCAUCUGUGACUGCAUAGCUAGAGUACGGUAGAGGGGGAUGGAAUUCCGCGUGUAGCAGUGAAAUGCGUAGAUAUGCGGAGGAACACCGAUGGCGAAGGCAAUCCCCUGGACCUGUACUGACGCUCAUGCACGAAAGCGUGGGGAGCAAACAGG
rnacentral:rRNA from 1 species